UACGAAGGGGGCUAGCGUUGCUCGGAAUCACUGGGCGUAAAGCGCACGUAGGCGGCUUUUUAAGUCAGGGGUGAAAUCCUGGAGCUCAACUCCGGAACUGCCUUUGAUACUGGCGAUCUUGAGUCCGGGAGAGGUGAGUGGAACUGCGAGUGUAGAGGUGAAAUUCGUAGAUAUUCGCAAGAACACCAGUGGCGAAGGCGGCUCACUGGCCCGGUACUGACGCUGAGGUGCGAAAGCGUGGGGAGCAAACAGG
rnacentral:rRNA from 1 species